GUGUACAGCUGUGCCACACUGAACUCAUCCAGUCUUGUCUGACCUUGGAAGCUAAGCAAGGUGGGGCCUGGUUAGAAGAGUGCCUGGGAAUACUGGGUGCUGUAGGCU
rnacentral:rRNA from 1 species